UGUUACGAAAUAAUCAGUCUAUCGUUAAGCUUUGUAAUCUCACUAACGACAAUCCUACCAAUUAGGAUGAGAAUAGUUUUUCCAGUCAAAAUAGAAAAAAAAAAACUAAAAAAAAAAGAGACGAAUGAUUUUUCUUUUUCCAGUUUAAUGUGUAAUUAAUUUAAAAUUUUCAAUUAAUUAAAAAAUAUUAUCGUUCCAGUUGGACAUCCAAUUUAGCAUUUAAAACUCAUUUCGGCUGCCACGUGAGAUUGCCAUUAGGGAGGUAACGAAGCUUAACGGCAUAGUAACC
rnacentral:pre_miRNA from 1 species